AGUCGUCGCGUGAGGGUGUGUCAGCCCCGCGCCUCCAACACCCGCUCUACCGCCUUCCACUAACCCGGCCUCUCCACCUCCUCCAUUUGCGCUCUCCUGGUGGAGAUCUCACGCCACCCGGUGGAUGAAUAGAUGGAUAGAUAGAGUGUGGAUCGUGGGAGCGAGCGGACGGCUCUAUGAGUGGCCACCCUGCAUGGGACACCGAUGCCUCAAGCUCCUUCUUCUCCCUCAGGGCAUUGCCAAUCGGUCAGGCAUUCCCCCAAUCGUGGCCAAUCCUAGAGCGAGAAAUGUGCCUAAUCAACCUCCGUCUCGGUACGAGUGAUCCGCCAAUCGCCGCCACGACGAGCCUCUAUGCCGUAGGAGCUCUGCUGAAGAACAUAACCUUGUGAUGAACAUCCGCGCGUGUGUUAGAAGAACUUGUUGGUGAUGCAGGCGAACGUGUUAUGAUGAACACCUCUGUGAUAGUUGUGUCUUGUGAUAGUUGAAAACGCGUGCGUGCUGCUGCUGGCGGAGAGAGAGAGAGAGGGGAGGUGAUUUUUACUGAACUGGACUGUCUGCCUGCCUGAUCGUGUACUUCAGGGUACUGUUACACAUGCACCUUCCAAACUCCGGGUCACCGCGUCAGGACGAACGUGAGAGCACCAGGCACCAGGAGGAUCUCAGGGCUCACGCACAUACGGGUGUUGUCUUGUAGCGUGUCGGUGGGAACGUCGCCUCUAUGUGAUCUGUUGCUUAGCUGUCACUUAAAAAAAAAAUAUUAGGAAAGUACAGGGUAUUUUAGUAUUUAAGGAUAUUGCUCUACUGGGAAAAAAAACACCCAAGACCACAGGGAAGACUGAAACAAUACUUCAUUAAAAUUAGUUCAAAAUGAUGAUGAGCUUGCCUGUGACGUCACUUGCGGGGGGAGCGGUGCCAUCCCCAUUGACCAAUCACGGCCACGAUCUUGCGUCUCCACCACCCAAUCACAGCCAUCGUUUUGACUACGCUCCGCAGACGUCGCCUACCACAACGUUUAUAAGGGUGAAGCAGGAGCCGGGGUCCCCUGGGUGUGGCAGCGAACCCCCUACCCCAGGUCCAGUGUUGGAUGACCCAGACCUACACAACUCCUCCUGCUCCCCAGCGUCCCUCCAA